CCUACGGGAGGCAGCAGUGGGGAAUAUUGGGCAAUGGGCGCAAGCCUGACCCAGCAACGCCGCGUGAAGGAAGAAGGCUCUCGGGUUGUAAACUUCUUUUCUGAGGGACGAAGCAAGUGACGGUACCUCAGGAAUAAGCCACGGCUAACUACGUGCCAGCAGCCGCGGUAAUACGUAGGUGGCAAGCGUUAUCCGGAUUUACUGGGUGUAAAGGGCGUGUAGGCGGGGAAGCAAGUCAGAUGUGAAAUCUCAGGGCUCAACCCUGGGCCUGCAUUUGAAACUGUUUUUCUUGAGUGCUGGAGAGGCAAUCGGAAUUCCGUGUGUAGCGGUGAAAUGCGUAGAUAUACGGAGGAACACCAGUGGCGAAGGCGGACUGCUGGACAGUAACUGACGCUGAGGCGCGAAAGCGUGGGGAGCAAACAGGAUUAGAUACCCUUGUAGUC
rnacentral:rRNA from 1 species